rnacentral:rRNA from 1 species
CGGGAACUGAAACAUCUAAGUACCCCGAGGAAAAGAAAUCAACCGAGAUUCCCCCAGUAGCGGCGAGCGAACGGGGAGGAGCCCAGAGCCUGAAUCAGCAUGUGUGUUAGUGGAAGCGUCUGGAAAGACGCGCGAUACAGGGUGACAGCCCCGUACACAAAAGCGCAUGUGCUGUGAGCUCGAUGAGUAGGGCGGGACACGUGGUAUCCUGUCUGAAUAUGGGGGGACCAUCCUCCAAGGCUAAAUACUCCUGACUGACCGAUAGUGAACCAGUACCGUGAGGGAAAGGCGAAAAGAACCCCGGCGAGGGGAGUGAAAAAGAACCUGAAACCGUGUACGUACAAGCAGUGGGAGCACCCUUUGGGGUGUGACUGCGUACCUUUUGUAUAAUGGGUCAGCGACUUAUAUUCUGUAGCAAGGUUAACCGUAUAGGGGAGCCGUAGGGAAACCGAGUCUUAACCGGGCGUUAAGUUGCAGGGUAUAGACCCGAAACCCGGUGAUCUAGCCAUGGGCAGGUUGAAGGUUGGGUAACACUAACUGGAGGACCGAACCGACUAAUGUUGAAAAAUUAGCGGAUGACCUGUGGCUGGGGGUGAAAGGCCAAUCAAACCGGGAGAUAGCUGGUUCUCCCCGAAAGCUAUUUAGGUAGCGCCUCGUGAAUUCAUCUCCGGGGGUAGAGCACUGUUUCGGCUAGGGGGCCAUCCCGGCUUACCAACCCGAUGCAAACUGCGAAUACCGGAGAAUGUUAUCACGGGAGACACACGGCGGGUGCUAACGUCCGUCGUGAAGAGGGAAACAACCCAGACCGCCAGCUAAGGUCCCAAAGUCAUGGUUAAGUGGGAAACGAUGUGGGAAGGCCCAGACAGCCAGGAUGUUGGCUUAGAAGCAGCCAUCAUUUAAAGAAAGCGUAAUAGCUCACUGGUCGAGUCGGCCUGCGCGGAAGAUGUAACGGGGCUAAACCAUGCACCGAAGCUGCGGCAGCGACACUCAGGUGUUGUUGGGUAGGGGAGCGUUCUGUAAGCCUGUGAAGGUGGCCUGUGAGGGUUGCUGGAGGUAUCAGAAGUGCGAAUGCUGACAUAAGUAACGAUAAAGCGGGUGAAAAGCCCGCUCGCCGGAAGACCAAGGGUUCCUGUCCAACGUUAAUCGGGGCAGG